AUUGAACGCUGGCGGCAUGCUUUACACAUGCAAGUCGAACGGUAACAGGCCUUCGGGUGCUGACGAGUGGCGAACGGGUGAGUAAUGCAUCGGAACGUACCCAGAGGUGGGGGAUAACGCAGCGAAAGCUGUGCUAAUACCGCAUGUGAUCUGAGGAUGAAAGCGGGGGACCGAGCAGCAAUGUUUGGCCUCGCGCCUUUGGAGCGGCCGAUGUCGGAUUAGCUAGUUGGGGGGGUAAAGGCCUACCAAGGCGACGAUCCGUAGCUGGUCUGAGAGGACGACAGGCCACACGGGGAGAGAGACAGGGCCCGGACUCCUGCGGGGGCGGGCAGGGGGGAUUUGUGGACAGUGGGGGAAAGCCGAAUCCAGGAAGGCCGCGGGGGGAAAGAGGCCCUUGGGGUUGUAAACCGCUUUGGGAAGGAACGAAAGGGUGCCCGCAAAACCCGGGGGAAAAGGGCGGGACCUGAAAAAAAAACCCCGGCAAACUCC
rnacentral:rRNA from 1 species